rnacentral:lncRNA from 1 species
CAGGUCUCUGGGCCAGACAGGAAAGAUGGGUUGGCUCUACUUUCUCUCCAAACUUGGGUAUCUGGAUAGAUAGACUGGUUUUGCUUCACCCCAGCCCACCUACUUCCAGCAAAAGAAGUCAGACACACCUUCCCAGCCUGCUGUACAGACAGGUGCUGGAACUCUGCCUUAAGCCAGGACGGGCCUGUCAGGGUCCCUGGACAUCGAGUCACCCAACUGUAGCUGCUCCUUGGGUGCAAACACUCCUGAACCUCUCAACCUGU